UACGGAGGGUGCGAGCGUUGUCCGGAAUCAUUGGGCGUAAAGGGCGCGUAGGUGGCGGGACAAGCGUGCGGUGAAAGCCUGGGGCUCAACCCCGGGUCGGCCGUGCGAACUGUUUUGCUUGAGCACUGUAGAGGCAGGCGGAAUUCCGGGUGUAGCGGUGGAAUGCGUAGAGAUCCGGAAGAACACCGGUGGCGAAGGCGGCCUGCUGGGCAGUAGCUGACACUGAGGCGCGACAGCGUGGGGACCAAACAGG
rnacentral:rRNA from 1 species